UACGGAGGGUGCGAGCGUUGUUCGGAAUCACUGGGCGUAAAGGGCGUGUAGGCGGGAAGGAAAGUCAGAUGUGAAAUCCCUGGGCUCAACCCAGGAACUGCAUUUGAAACUCCCUUUCUUGAGUACCGGAGAGGAAGGUGGAAUACCUGGUGUAGAGGUGAAAUUCGUAGAUAUCAGGUGGAACACCAGUGGCGAAGGCGGGUCUCUGGGCCGAUACUGACGCUGAGGAGCGAAAGCGUGGGGAGCAAACAGG
rnacentral:rRNA from 1 species